rnacentral:misc_RNA from 1 species
UACGUAUGGUGCAAGCGUUGUUCGGAAUCACUGGGCGUAAAGAGCACGCAGGCGGACUAUUAAGUCGGAAGUGAAAACUACGGGCUCAACCCGUAGCCUGCUUCCGAAACUGAUUUUCUUGAGUCCCGGAGAGGUAAGCGGAAUUCUCGGUGUAGCGGUGAAAUGCGUAGAUAUCGGGAGGAACACCAAUGGCGAAGGCAGCUUACUGGACGGUGACUGACGCUGAGGUGCGAAAGCGUGGGGAGCAAACAGG